UCUCACUUACUUUAGAUAACGUGUUGCAAUUCGAUUUUAUACAGCAAAACACUCAUUCUAAAGGAAUACUUUUUUUGUGAUUUAAAAAACGAUAACGGCUACAAAAAACACAACAAUUAGCUACUUAAAGACAAAGGUUAAUAAGUCUGCGUUUCUUUCUUUCAGUAUGUGUGUGUGUGUGUUUGUGUGUGUGUGUGUAUGCGUUUGUGUGGCCGCGCGCGCGCUCUCGUAAACGCCUCCUGUGUGCGCAUCAUCAACCUAUAGGAAAUKCCACCUUUACAUAGCCUACAGAAACAUAGCUACUGUAAGGUGCGGUAACACUUAACAUUAAUCAGAUCCUGCAAAUGAGAUCUAGUUAGUGUAACCUAAUCUCGAUCACAAUCUCUUGCAGUAUAGUUUAUUGAAGUUUAAAUAAACCCAGCUAAUUCUCAUCAUAAUCAUAGAUCUGAAUCCUAUUGUUUGACCGCUAGAGUUCUACUCUUUGUUUAUACAUUUCCUAGAUUUAUAUUAUUAUAUUUGACCAUUUUACAUGAUUAUUCAACUAACAAACGUUCUGUAUUUCCUAUUUUUUAACGCACUCUUUUCUAAAUAGUAUUUUUCAUGAUAUGUGAAAUUCGUAAUAGGUUACCGCUUGUACGUGCGCAUCAGUGUCCAUAAAAACGCAUUGCAAUCACCAUGACCUAAUUUAAAAGUAACAACAUGGAAAACGAAGCAAAGAGAAAAGUAAAGCAAAUGCAAAUCUACCUUUUACAUAUGUAUCAAUGUUAAAAAAAAUAAUACGCACGCUGGAACCAACAGCGUCGAAGCAUUGAGAAUGGCAGAGCAGGUCGUCUCAUUAUGCACAGGCGAUUUCCCAGGCAGAACCCUUGGUUUCUUCACUUCAUGUUUCCGAUCCGUACCGCUCACACACGCUCGGAGCUUCGUCACAAACAAACAAGGCAAUGUUCGCUUUCAAAACGGCAAUCAAAUACCCAAGAACCGGUGGGGGGAAUUACUCCCGCAGCGGCUAGAUGGGUUGGAGAAAUAUGGCCCUGAUUCCCCUGCUCAGGAGAGAGGCCAAAUGGACAUGUUUGUCUGGGUCUUUGCCUACCGCUGAACCAACAUGAGCUCAGGCGAGAGAGGAGUCAUCAGGAGCCAGACAGAGAGAACCAGGAUAACGGCUGACGUGUCCAUGUGUUAAGGAUGGCCCACAGAUCGCAGAGAUGGAGCAUCUAUCUGCGUGACCCUUUACUGUUGUCUCUAAUGGGGCUCGAGACAUGGACUUCGAUCACCACCUGAACAUCAACAUGCACAACCCUCAAGAUACAGUACGCUGAGAAGACAGAUACACAACUCUACUAUUUAUAAUCAGCAUGCAUACAUCUGUUCUAGAUACACAGAAACCACCAAAUAUACACUAACAUCCUUUGAAUCAAGUCAGUUUUUUGUAUCAUUGUGAUUUAAAUCUGUAAGUUGCAAAACUGUUUACCAUAUGUCUACUCACUGGGAUGUAAAAGUACAACAUUAUUUAUUCUGAAUUGUAAAAGUCUGUAUUGGUAUAUUGGAUUUUGAAUGAACCUGUCCUUAGAAUACAUAACAUCUGAAGGGAACCUGCAGCGCACAUUGUCUUUAUCUGACAUUGACUGAAUUUAUAGAAAAAGUAAACAUCAAAGGGAAUAUUUUUAUACUUUCUCAAUCACUGUAUUUUCUCAAUGAACUGAAUAAAAUAUAUUCAAGAAUA